rnacentral:lncRNA from 1 species
UUUUUUUUUUUUUUUUUUUUUUUGCCACACCACAUCAUGUGAAAGUUCCCUAGCCAAGGAUCAAACCUAUACCAUGGGAUCCUUAACCCGUUUCACCACAAGGGAACUCUCCAGGCUCUUUUUUUUUUUUGUCUUUUUAGGGCUGCACCCGUGGCAUGUGGAACUUCCCAGGCUAGAGGUCAAAUCAGAGCUGCAGCGGCUGGCCUACACCACAGCUCACGGCAAUGCUGGAUCCUUAACCCACCGAGUGGGCCAGGGAUCACACACACAUCCUCAUGGAUGCUAGUCGGGUUCAUUACCACUGAGCCACAAUGGGAACUGCCCCGGGCUGUUUCUUGGAUACCAUUUUGACACAGGUGCCACCAGAGGACCUGCACUAAUUUGGAUCCUGUGUCUUUCACACAACGCCGUGACCAGGGCAUUUCCGCAUUUCAUGUAUCCUGUGUACAGUUUUGUGUUCAGCUUUUACUCAGUGAAAAUUGUUCAAAUAUUAAAGCUCUUUGUAGAUACAUAAUCUCAUAGCUGCAUAACAUGUUCUCUUUUUUUUUUUUGUCUUUUCGUCAUUUUAGGACCGCACCCACAGCAUAUGGAGGUUCCCAGGCUAUGGUUCGAAUUGGAGCUGAAGUCACCUGCCUAUGCCACAAGCCACAGUAACACUGGAUCCGAGCCACAUACGCAACCUACACCACACAGCUCACGCCAAUGCUGGAUCCUUAACCCACUGAGCGAGGCCAGGGAUCGAACCCUCAUCCUCAUGGAUGCUAGUCGGGUACCUUAACCGCUGAGCCACGAUGGGAAUUCCUGAUCUGUUAAUUUUUUUUAAAAUUUUUGACUGCGCCCGUGGCGGGCAGAAGUUCCCAGACCAGGUAUCAAACCUGAGCCAUAGCAGUGACAAGGCCAGAUCCUUAUCCUGCUGAGCCACCAGGGAACUCCUGACCUAUUAAUUUUUGAUAUCUUAAAUAAGAAAUGUUAUAAGUUCCUUUGUGGUGCAGUGGGUUAAGAAUCCGGUGUUGUCACUGCAGUGGCCCAGGUCACUGCUGUGGUGUGGGUUCAGUCCCUGGCCCUCCACAUGCUAUGGGCAUGGCCAAAAAAAGAAAGAAAAAGGAAUGUUACUGUUUAUAUAGUCAAAUCUAUUGGUUAUUUUUGGUGAUUCAUUCGUCCCUUUAGAAGAGCCUUUAAAAUUUAUACAAGUUAUACAUAUUAAUUGCAGAAAAAUUAGAUAUUAGAUAUAAGAAAAAAGAAAAAAUCAACUAUAAUCCUACUGUUUAGAAAUAACUACUGUAAAUAUUUUGAUGCACCAAUUUCCAGACUUUUUUCCUAUACAUAUGUGUACAUUGUAACUGUUACAUAAUUUCUUUCUUUUUCUUUCUUUCUUUCUUUCAGUCUUUUUAGGGCUGUACACAUGGCAUAUGGAAGGUCCCAUACGGAUCAAAUCAGAGCUGCAGUUGCUGAUGUACGCCACAGCCACAGAACACAGUAUCUGAGCCUCAUCUUCGACCUACACCACAACUCACAGCAAUGCCAGAUCCCUGACCUACUGAGCAGGACCUGGGAUUGAACCCGCAUCCUCAUGGGUACUAGUUGGGUUCGUUACUGCAGAGCCACGAGAGGAACUCCACAUAAUUUCUUUAUAUAAAAAUGGGAUCCUGGUAUAUGCAUAUUUUAUGAGAUGGUUUUGAAAAUUUUAACAGUAUGGUAACAUCUUUUCCUCAAUAAAUACAGGAUUCCAUAAUCUUUUUUUUUUUUUUCCUUUGGCCACACCCAAGGCAUGUGGAAGUUCCCAGGCAGGGAUCGAACCCAUGCCACAGCAGUGACCCAAGGAACAAUGCCAAAUCCUUAACCUGCUGUACCAUAAGGGAACUCCCCCAUGAUCAUCUUUAAUGACUGAAUUCCUGGACUAUUACAUUACUGAAUCAGAAGAUAGGAUAAUUUCAAUAUUUUUGCUGCAUAUUGCUGAACUGUCCCCCAGAUAUGUUGUAUCAGUUUACACUGACUGUCAGUCAGCAGAGGCAUGAAAUAACAAGUAUUUCUCCAUAUCAGAAUAUCAAAUCAUCAUUAUUUUAUAUCCUUGCUGUUCUGAAGAGGUUUUUUUUAAUAUUUCUCUUUGUUUUAAUUCACAUUUCUUUGACUGCUUGUGAUAUUGCACACUUUUUCUUUUUUUCGUAGAUAUAUUGGCCAUGUAAAUUUCUCUUGUUAAUGGCCUGUUCAUAUUCUUUGUCUGUUUAUUAGGAUGGUGAUACUUUUCUUUGAUUUCAAGAGCCAUAAGAAUUUUAACCCUUUGUCCAUUAUGCAUAUCGCAACUAUUUCCUCAUAAGAAUUUUGUUUGUUUGUUUUGCUUUUUAGGGGUGCACCCGCAGCAUAUGGAGGUUCCUAGGCUAGGGGUUGAAUCAGAGCUGCAGCUGCCUGCCUACACCACAGCCACAGCCAUGCCAGAUCCUUCACCCACUGAGGCCAGGGGUCGAACCCAUAACCUCACGGUUCCAUUCAUUCCGUUGUGCCACAAUGGGAACUCCAGAAGUUUUUUUUUAUAUUAAACCUUUUAUUUGCUUUAGUUCGCCAUAUUCUUCUUUUUUUUUUUUUUUUCUUUUUUUUUAACUUUUUUGGCCAUCCUGGCAGCAUAUGGAGUUCUGGGGCCAGGGAUCAGAUCUGAGCUGCAGCUGUGACCUUAUGCCCUAGCUGAAGCAAAGCCAGAUUCUUAACACACGGUGCCAGGCCAGGGACUGAAUCUGCAUCCAGGCGCUCCAGUGACACCACCGAUCCUAUUGCGCUACAGUGGGAGGGAACUCCUAGAACUUUUAAUUUUGUAGAGUAAAAUCCAUCAACUUUUUGUUUAGCAAUGUCCUUGGUUCUUUUGUAUCAUGCUUAGAAGGACUUUCUUUAACCCCAAAUUUUGUUAUAUCUAUUUUUUUCUAGUGCAUGGUUAAAUCCUGACUCCAUCUGGAAAUUAUUUUGGUAUGCAGUAUGAGUGUACAGCAAGGGGAUCAAGUUAUCCUUACAUGUAUACAUUACAACUACAUUUUUUUUCCCCAUCCUUUGUUCUGUUGCAACGUGAGUAUCUAGACAAAGUUUCAAUGCUACGCAGCAGGAUCUCCUUGUAGAUCUAUUCUAAGUUGUGUCUGAUAUAUAUUUUCUUCUGUUACUUCAUCUAUUUCUUCCAUGCCUCUAUGUCCACAUUGGGACAUUGUUAUAAUCACAAUGAUCUUAUCAUAUAUCUCUCUUUUCAAAAAUUGUUUUAGCUAUUAUAGUUUUUUCCCACAUGAAUUUUAGGAUUGUUCUGCUAAAUUAAAAAAAAAAUCCAACAGGAUUUGCAUUCAAUUACAAUUGCAUUAGGAGUUCCCCGGGUGGCCCAGCAGGUUAAGGAUAUGAUAUUGUAACUGCAGUGGCUCAGGUUGCUGAGCCACAGAUUCGAUCCCUGGCCGAGGAGCUUCCACAUGCCACAGGUGCAGCCAAAAAAAUUCUAAUUCCAAAUUUUGGAAUAUUCCAUAUAAAUGUGUACUUGUAGUUCAAUACAUGAUCUUAGAAAUGAAUGGUGGUGUACAACUACAAAUGUAAUAAAAUUGAGUAAUUAAAAAAUAAAAUACAUUUCUAUAAAAAAAGAAAUGAAUGGUAAUAAAAUUGGGAAAUUUUUCCUUUUUUAAUUUGGGAACUGCCUUGUCUCAUAUUACAAUGAAAUGUAAAAGAAUAUCUAUUGUUAAUAAUCAUAAAUUAGGAGUUCCUGUUCAUGGUGCAACGGAAACAAAUCUGACUAGGAACCAUGAGGUUGAGGGUUCGAUCCUUGGCCUCCCUCAGUGGGUUAAGGAUCCGGCAUUGCUGUGAGCUGCGGUGUAGGUUGCAGACGAGUCUCAGAUCUGGCAUUGCUGUGGCUGUGGCCUAGGCGGGCAGCUGUAAUUCCAAUCAGACCCCUAGGCUGGGAACCUCCAUAUGCCGCGGGUGCGGCCCUAAAAAGACAAAAAGACCAAAACAAAAAUCAUAAAUUAUAGUAAUAGCUGGCACCUAUGAAGCACUGUUCCAAGUUCUAGAUCCUUAUGUAAACAUGAGCUUAUACUUUUAGUAUCCCAACUUAGGGAUAAGAGAAAGGUGAAGUAGCUUACCCAAGGUUAUGCAGCUAGUAGUCAGUGGAUACCAAAACCAUUAGCUAUGACCAGUGCUCUUUAUGCAAGGUAGCAAUUAAAGAGAAGGGAAAAGAUCAGUUAACAUAAAAUAGCCGUGGAGUUCUCCUGUGGCGCAGCAGGUUAAGGAUCUGGAGGUGUCACCUUAGUCCUUGGGCUGCUGCUGCAGUGCGGGUUUGAUCCCUGUCCUGGGAACUUUCACAUGUUGCAGGUGCAGCCAAAGAGAGAGAAAGAGAGAGAAAACCCACAGCUGUUAGAAACCUCCUCUACAAAUGGCCAUGAGGUCUGAGUUGAUCAUCACAGCUGUAUUCUUGCAUCACAUUCGUGUUGCUUCUACCCUCAGCUGGGCAGAGCUCUAGGCUUGGUAAGGAGACUCAAAACUUUAUUCCUGUAGGACUUGAGUUCUUGAUGGUCCUGUCUUUAUUGGAUUGCUGUCCGUUCCCACUCACCAAAUCUUCAGGACAAGGGAUGUGUCCCCAGUGAAUCCUUGGAUUCCAGACAUUUCCUUUUUCCUCCACUAAGCAGCAGAGCAGAUUCCCUUGGCAAUCACACUUCGUGAAGGCUGAGUUUGGUGACUGCCGUGGCUGGGGCUGCUAAAACACACCACCAUAGACUGAGCAGCUUAAACAGCAGGUCAUUUCUCACAGUUCUGGUCAUUUCUCACAGAUCCCACAGACCGAGAUCAGGGUGUCAGUCUGGUUGGGUUCCAGUGAGAGUCCUCUUCCUGGCUCAGAGAAGGCUGCCCUCUUACUGCACCCUUACAUGGCAGAGAGAGCACAACAGAGAGACAGAGAAAGGAAGGGCUCUGAUUCUUCUCCUUCUUCUAAGGACACUAAAUUCCAUCAUGCAGCUCGACUCCUGUGACCUCAUCCAAAAACCUCAACUCCUAACACCAUUACACUCGAUUGUGGGGUAACAUAAACAUUCAGCUCCUAUUAGUGACCCCCUUUUCUGCCUUUUGAUUCAGCAGCAUGAAGGGUCCCAGGCAUCAGGGAAGCAGCUUCGGCUCCAAUUGAAUGGAGCCAUGAUAGUGUUUUCUGCCAUAAACAUCCCUCCGCUGGGCACUAGGACCUCUGGACCCACUGAGCCUCAGAUGACUGGCAAGGAAAGCAAAAAAAUUCUUCCAGUGAGUUAUUAGGGGUCAUAGUGAGAGAAGCCAUCCCUACCUCCUCUCCUUGGAACAUUCUGGACAUGUCUAAGUCCAGACGUGGUAGUGCUAGCAGAAGCCCUGCUGGCAAGGAAGGCAAAUCCAUACCCAGAACACGUGUCUGUCCCUGUGAGGACCAGGCGCUGUCCACACGUCUUAGUCUUCCUGCUAACAAGAGACUAUUGUUUUGCCUUCAGGGUGAGACCUUCCCCUUGGAGAGGCGCCCUCUGCUGGCCUUUCCUAGGAUCUGCGGCCUUGAGCAUCCUCUUCUCAUUGGCCUGUAUCCCUUUUGGGGGUUCCUCACUCCUUUGGGUAGUCCUUGAUUUGAGGAGUUUCAGAUGUCUCCUACUUUCAUCGAUAGUGUCGUUUGCGGUUCUGCUUCUCAUUCUCCUUGUGCUUUUGUGGGAUAGUCGAGAGGCAUAGAGAAAAAUGGCAACUUGACUGUAGUUUUUAAUACUGAAAUCUGGUAAAAUUUUAUAAAGUAUGGUAAUUCGAAAUGUUGUUAUUGGAUUGUAUCUUAUUAUAAAUUAUGGUGUCCUCUCUGGCAUUCUUAAAUGAGUUUUGAAAAUUUGGACUAAUACAAUACUAAUAAAUAUUUGUAUUCAUCUAAGUCUCUAAGAUUUUUAAGUUCCAAAGCAAUCCAGUACAAGAAGAAGAAAAACGAACUGAUGAUGUUAGAAAUAAGGCUACUGGAGUUCUCAUCGUGGCUCAGUGGAAACGACUCUGAUUAGUAUGUAUGAGGACGCAGGUUCGAUCCCUGGAUUAAGGAGCCGGCGUUGCCAUGAGCUGUGGUGUGGGUGGCAGACAGGGCUCCGAUCCUGAGUUGCUGUGGCUGUGGUGUAGGCUGGAGGCUACGGCUCUGAUUCGACCCCCAGCCUGGGAACCUACAUAUGCUGCGGGUGGGGCCCUAAAAAAAAAAAAAAUAAGGCUUCUGGUCAGUCUGGGCAGCAGUCAUUGGAGGGGGCUGGGAUGGGAGCUUCUGCAGGGAGUCAUGGUCUGUUUCUUGAUCUGGGUUCUAGGUAUACAGCGUGUUCUGUUUGUUAACAUGAGUGAACUUGCUUAGGAUAUGUGAUUUUUCUCUAUGUAUUUUAUGUGUUAACAAUUAUUUUUAACCCAAAUUAGAACACCCUAUAAUUAAAAAUAAAUAAUUAUCCUAGUAAG